AAAAUGCAUUGAACUGGUACAGCAAGAAUAAUGGGAGGAGAAGCUUUCCUUACAUUCCCUGUUCCUUACUAAUUUGCCUCAAACCUUAGCAGGAGGUGACCUCUCAUAGGAAUGAUCAAGGAGAUAAGUGUCAAGGUGCCAGCUGAAGUGGCACUUUUUGUGAUAGACACUUGUAAGAAGAUUGAGCCCUUCAUCUCAGUUCACACGGGGCAAAAAAACUGCAGGCAGCCUGUUAUCUCUGCCAGCCCAAGAUGGAUCCAGACCAGUGGUCUAGAGGCAAAAGGUUCUAUAUCCCAUUACCAACCUCCCCACAUCAUUCAGGCCCCUGACUGUAAGAAUUCUGAGUAAUUCAUGUCCCUUAUUAGAAUCUCAGGCAAGAAAACGAGAGAAUUUUGAGAUGCCUGUGACACCGGAGUUCUGCUGCACAGCAAAUAUAGUCACAGGGCUUCAUCAUAUAGAACACUCUUGGAGCGAGAGCAUUCAGAUUCUUCCAGUGGCCGGGUGAGGAAGUUGCCUCUCAGCAAGGACAAAAGGGAAAUGAGGGAAAUUUUACAAGAAAAUUUUCAUUUUAGUUAAAAAGCCAUUUUCCACCAAAACAUUUUUCAGUGAAAAAAUUUGAACUGACUAAAAUACCCUGACCUCAGUCCUGAGGAACAGCCUAAAGCUGGAAACGGGGGAAGAAAUGGAGUAAGACAAGAAAUGAGGGUGAAAAAAUCAGAAGAGGACAGAGAAUUGGAGAGGAAAAGAAGCCGAAAAAAGGAAGCAAAACUAGAAGAUAGUCAAGAAGAGGGAGAAUUAGGCCAGGACGGGAAGAGGGAAAGCAAUCCAUGCAACAUAAAGAGCAGAAUGAAAUAAAACACAAGGAAGAGAGCAAGGAGCCAGAGAGACGUGAAUCAUGCGGGUAGCUGUAAUAGAUGCACAUAAAGAAAGAAUUGUAACAGAAAGUGAACCAAGAAGAGAGGAAUGAGAGCAAAUAAAAGCCAGACACCCAGCUGUGAAAUCUGUUUGUUUUACUUAUUAUUAGUAAAAGGCAAAAGCCUAUAAAUGAUCUGAAAUAAAUUCACUCAGUGGCCAGUAAAAUGCCAGUGUUAUGCCAUGCUGUCCAUGACGGUAGUUGUAGUCUUUCUAGUUCUGCAAGUGGAAAAACCCUCUUGGGCAACAAUUUCAGAAGUGGCCUCUGAGUUGGGGUAUUUUUUUCCCACAGAGGUGCUAAGCAGCAGUGGCUUCAUUUACUUUGAUUGGACCUGUGGGUGCUCUGCACCUCCGGGAAAUCAGGCCCAAGCUGGACUAGUGAAAUCAGUGGCUGUUGUUAAAAAUAUCAGGGCUUGUCUACACGAAGACUUAACAUGUGGCAGGUGCAGCUUCCUAGCUUGUCAAGCACCCAGGGUCGGCUCUAGGAAUUCGGCCGCCGCAAGCAGCCAAAC